rnacentral:sRNA from 1 species
UUUUUUUACGUAUUUAAGUAGGAUUUGACAUGGCAUAUUUUUAUUGGUUAAUGCAAAAAGAGGUGAACAAAUGGAUUCACCCCUAGGGGUGAACAAAUGGAUUCACCCCUAGGGGUGAACCCAAGUCUUGUUCUUAAUAUAU